rnacentral:rRNA from 1 species
CCUACGGGAGGCAGCAGUGGGGAAUAUUGGACAAUGGGGGGAACCCUGAUCCAGCCAUGCCGCGUGUGUGAAGAAGGCCCUCGGGUUGUAAAGCACUUUCAGUGAGGAAGAACGCCUGGUGGUUAAUACCCAUCAGGAAAGACAUCACUCACAGAAGAAGCACCGGCUAACUCCGUGCCAGCAGCCGCGGUAAUACGGAGGGUGCGAGCGUUAAUCGGAAUUACUGGGCGUAAAGCGCGCGUAGGUGGCUUGAUAAGCCGGUUGUGAAAGCCCCGGGCUCAACCUGGGAACGGCAUCCGGAACUGUCAAGCUAGAGUGCAGGAGAGGAAGGUAGAAUUCCCGGUGUAGCGGUGAAAUGUGUAGAGAUCGGGAGGAAUACCAGUGGCGAAGGCGGCCUUCUGGACUGACACUGACACUGAGGUGCGAAAGCGUGGGUAGCAAACAGGAUUAGAUACCCCAGUAGUC